rnacentral:rRNA from 1 species
GGGGCGUUCUUGUCCCUGCGGCGGAUCAGCUCGCUCCCUGUAAACGGGACGGCCCGCCAGAGGACCCAAACUCUAUGUCUUUUAGUGUAUCUUCUGAGUAACACAAACAAAUAAAUCAAAACUUUCAACAACGGAUCUCUUGGUUCUGGCAUCGAUGAAGAACGCAGCAAAAUGCGAUAAGUAAUGUGAAUUGCAGAAUUCAGUGAAUCAUCGAAUCUUUGAACGCACAUUGCGCCCGCCAGUAUUCUGGCGGGCAUGCCUGUUCGAGCGUCAUUUCAACCCUCAAACCCCCGGGUUUGGUGUUGGGGAUCGGCGAGCGUCUGCCUGGCAGACCAGCCGGCCCCGAAAUCUAGUGGCGGUCUCGCUGUAGCCUCCAUUGCGUAGUAGCUAACACCUCGCAACUGGAACGCAGCGCGGCCAAGCCGUAAAACACCCCAACUUCUGAGGCGGAAAUCACACCCCUGCAGAAAAAAAUUAACCCGGGGAACUACAUUUUCCCAACCUCCCCC